AAGAGAGAGAAUGUUGUUGAAAAGUAUUGGAAAUGCAUGGCCUGAUUUGAUAAAUAAAAGUGAAUAUUCUCAGCCUGAUUAUGGUAAGAACGUCAGCAGUAGUUUCGAUACUUUCCAAACGAAGACGGCAUUUUUGAAAAAGAAACUAGGUUGCUAACGAGAGAUCGGCUAAUGCCCUUUCGUAGAAACAUGUCAUUUUCCAAUAUAGAUGCUUUUGUUUCUGUCGAUUUGGAGUUACUUGGUGCUCAUGUUGAGGCAGAGAGCUGGUAAUGAAUUCAAGCUGCAAAAUUCUAGAAGAGUCUCUCAUGGAUCCUGUAAUUGGUUCAUCUCUUAAAAAUGCAGUUAUUGAUGCUCUUACAAAAGAACGUGCAGAAAGAAAGAAAUGGAAGCUUGACGGCAGGUUAAGGGAGUUUAUUCUACUUGGUUAGAUGAUUUCUUGCGACAUCUCAACUCCCCUAGCAAUGAGGAGAUAUGAAUUUGAGAUUAGUACCUAUCAAUUCCUAUCAGAAUGGUUGAAGUUCAGUGAUUAUGAUCUGUUCAUGUUUUUGGGCUGCCUCACUCUUUCUUGGACUGCUUGAGCCGCUGCAGAAUUGGGCUAGUUUAAAUUCGGGUUAACAACAAAAUUGAAAGAACCGUGUUUUUCAGGGUUGCACGACUUUGCCUCUUUGAGGGUUAAAGAUUAGCCCUGCACGUGGCUGAUUUCUAAUCCUUGGAUCGUAUCUGGGCCUAACAUGAUCUUUCGACCACAAUUUUUUGCUUUAUAUGUGCUGUUGGUAAUUUUAAAUUUAAACUAUAGGGUUUAUGUGUUCUCCUUCAAUGAUUUGAAUUAUUCAGUGUAAUUUUGAUUGAAACAUUUUCUGUAGAAGGUUCAAGUAUAUUAUUCCGGAUUUAAUGGUC
rnacentral:lncRNA from 1 species